rnacentral:lncRNA from 1 species
CUACUUUUUUUAUUUUGCAAAAUAGUUAUUUUUCAUAAAAGUAUCUUGAUUCAUAUAUAAUAGAUUUAUUGUUAUUUUCAAAUGAAUUGUUAUUUUUAAAUUCCAUGUUUUUAUUUCUAAUGCAGUAAAAAUCAAUAUAAUCCACAUAAACAAAAGCUCUUUGGGGUCCUCAAUAAUUUCUAAGAUUGUAGUCCCUUAAGAGUGCACGUGCCUGAGGCCAGAAAGUUUUAGAAGCCCUGUCCCAGGUGAUGAUGUCUAAAGGCCCUUUAAGCUCUGAAUUCUGUGCUCCUUAGGAGGGUCUCUCCACUCUUUCCCUGCUCCCUUCCAAUUCUUUAGUUGUACUACUCACACUACCACUAAUAAAAAUAACACCUGACGUUUGUAGAUUGUUUUAGACCUUCCCAAAUUCCUCUCAUAUUGAAUAUCUCAGUAGUAAUGUGAACUAUUUUUUCUACCUCAGAGUUCCCUGGGAAUGCUGCCUUUAGCUUCCAGGCUUGGGACCAGCUCUUUGCUCAAACUGUGUGCUCACGGACCUCUCGGAAUCUCAACUUCCCUAUCUGUAAAAUGGGGACCAGAUCAUAUUUAGGGUCCCUUCCCAGCAACUAGGUAGCGCAGUGGAUAGAGUGACGGGCCUGGAAGACCUGAGUUCAAAUCCAACUUCAAAUACUCACUAGCUGUGUGACCCUGGGCAAAUCGCUUAACUGUUUGCCUCAGUUUCCUCAUCUGUAAAAAGCUGGAGAAGGAAAUCGCAAACUACUCCAGUAUCUUUGUAAGAAAACCCCGAAUGGGGUCACCAAUAGUCUGACACGACUGAAAAACAACAAACAAUAUGAUCCCUUCCCUCUGUACACAUUGUGUAUCUCUCUUCUGACGCCAUUCUCCCCCUCCCCUCCCCUCCAGCCUCCUAAAACCCCAGUGCUUGUGCCCCUUCUCCCAGAAGAGCCGGUGCACCCCGCUGCCGCUAGAUGAGCAAGGAUUGUACCUUCCCAGAUGGAAUUGUCGAUCGAUAGCUCUAGGCUCCUCGCUCUCCUCUCCUCGAACUCGGCGCUCGGCUCCAAAUGCCUGCGCCCGGCGGCGCCGCUGCGUUGCUAUGGGGACGGAGUGGCAAGUGACGGCCGCCUCAUCCUGGCCCCGGCCCGGCCCUGGGAGGGCCCUGCGGGGGCGCAGCCGGGAGCCCAGCGGGUAAAGGAUCAUCUUUUUAAAAGCCAUUUGCUUCUGAAGGUGUUUUUUACCAUAAAAGAAAAGCCAGUUCCAAAUCCACCAUAUGUAAUGAAACAUUGA